AUUGAACGCUGGCGGCAGGCCUAACACAUGCAAGUCGAACGGUAACAGGAAGAAGCUUGCUUCUUUGCUGACGAGUGGCGGACGGGUGAGUCAUGUCUGGGAAACUGCCUGAUGGAGGGGGAUAACUACUGGAAACGGUAGCUACUACCGCAUAACGUCGCAAGACCAAAAAGGGGGACCUUCGGGCCUCUUGCCAUCGGAUGUGCCCAGGUGGGAUUAGCUAGUAGGUGGGGUAACGGCUCACCUAGGCGACGAUCCCUAGCUGGUCUGAGAGGAUGACCGGCCACACUGGAACUGAGACACGGUCCAGACUCCUACGGGAGGCAGCAGUGGGGAAUAUUGCACAAUGGGCGCAAGCCUGAUGCAGCCAGGCGGCGUGUAUGAAGAAGGCCUUCGGGUUGUAAAGUACUUUCAGCGGGGAGGAAGGGAGUAAAGUUAAUACCUUUGCUCAUUGACGGUACCCGCAGAAGAAGCACCGGCUAACUCCGUG
rnacentral:rRNA from 1 species